GUAGCAUAAUCACUUGCCCAUUAAUUGUGGGCUAGAAUGAAUGGAAAAACGAAGUAAUAGCUGUCUCUAGUAGUACCAUAAAAAAUAAUCUUCCAGUGAAGAAGCUGAAAUAAAAUCACAGGACAAGAAGACCCUAUAGAGCUUUAUUUUUAAUACAUAUAAUAAAUGUAAAAAAAUUCAGUUGGGGCGACUAAGGAAAAAUCAUCCUAAACAUAAAAGACUUACAAGUCAAUUAAAAGAUCCUAAAUAAUAGAUCAAAGAAAUAAGCUACCUUAGGGAUAACAGGCUAAUCCUCCUGGAAAGUCCAAAUUUAUAGGAGGGGUUGGCACCU
rnacentral:rRNA from 1 species